CCUACGGGUGGCAGCAGUGGGGAAUAUUGGGCAAUGGGCGCAAGCCUGACCCAGCAACGCCGCGUGAAGGAAGAAGGCUUUCGGGUUGUAAACUUCUUUUGUCAGGGAAGAGUAGAAGACGGUACCUGACGAAUAAGCCACGGCUAACUACGUGCCAGCAGCCGCGGUAAUCUGUAGGUGGCAAGCGUUGUCCGGAUUUAGUGGGUGUAAAGGGCGUGUAGCCGGGUUGACAAGUCAGAUGUGAAAUCCUGCGGCUUAACCGCAGAACUGCAUUUGAAACUGUUGAUCUUGAGUGCUGGAGAGGCAGGCGGAAUUCCUGGUGUAGCGGUGAAAUGCGUAGAUAUUAGGAGGAACACCAGUGGCGAAGGCGGUCUGCUGGACAGCAACUGACGGUGAGGCGCGAAAGCGUGGGGAGCAAACAGGAUUAGAUACCCGUGUAGUC
rnacentral:rRNA from 1 species